rnacentral:rRNA from 1 species
GUCUAUGGCCAUGCUACUGUGAAUAAGCCUGAUCCCGUCUGAUCUUGGAAGCUAAGCAAGGUUGGGCCUGCUUAAUACUUGGAUGGGAGAUCACCUAGGAAGACCAGGUGCUCUAGGUG